GGGGAUUUAGCUCAGCGGCAUAAGCGCCUGCCUUGCAAGCAGGCAGUCCUGAGUUCAAUUCCCG
rfam:Cavia porcellus supercont2_0 genomic scaffold, whole genome shotgun sequence.